UACGUAGGGGGCUAGCGUUGUCCGGAAUUAUUGGGCGUAAAGGGCUCGUAGGCGGUCUGUUGCGUCGGGAGUGAAAACUCAGGGCUUAACCCUGAGCCUGCUUCCGAUACGGGCAGACUAGAGGUAUGCAGGGGAGAACGGAAUUCCUGGUGUAGCGGUGAAAUGCGCAGAUAUCAGGAGGAACACCAAUAGCGAAGGCAGCUCGCUGGGACGGUACUGAUGCUAAGGCGCGAAAGCGUGGGGAGCGAACAGG
rnacentral:rRNA from 1 species